GCACUGCUGAGGAGUCCCAUAAUAGGACGAAAUAGCCGUCCAGUGC
rfam:Schistosoma mansoni strain Puerto Rico chromosome 4, complete genome